rfam:Helianthus annuus linkage group 6, whole genome shotgun sequence.
AAACCAUGAUGAGGGCAUUUCCUUAACAACUCUUUGAACUUUUCCCAAGUUUCAUACAAAGAUUCCUCGUCCUCUUAAGAAUAUGAAUUAAUUUCAGUCAUUAGUUU